rnacentral:rRNA from 1 species
GAUGAACGCUGGCGGCGUGCCUAAUACAUGCAAGUCGAGCGAACAGACGAGGAGCUUGCUCCUCUGACGUUAGCGGCGGACGGGUGAGUAACACGUGGAUAACCUACCUAUAAGACUGGGAUAACUUCGGGAAACCGGAGCUAAUACCGGAUAACAUGUUGAACCGCAUGGUUCAACAGUGAAAGACGGUCUUGCUGUCACUUAUAGAUGGAUCCGCGCCGCAUUAGCUAGUUGGUAAGGUAACGGCUUACCAAGGCAACGAUGCGUAGCCGGCCUGGGAGGGUGAUCGGCCACACUGGAACUGAGACACGGUCCAGACUCCUACGGGAGGCAGCAGUAGGGAAUCUUCCGCAAUGGGCGAAAGCCUGACGGAGCAACGCCGCGUGAGUGAUGAAGGUCUUCGGAUCGUAAAACUCUGUUAUUAGGGAAGAACAAAUGUGUAAGUAACUAUGCACGUCUUGACGGUACCUAAUCAGAAAGCCACGGCUAACUACGUG